AAAUGUCCAUAUCGCGAAACCAAUGAAGAAAAUGAAUGGCAUUGCUUCUUUGGUUGUGCAGCAUCGAUAGAGGUCUGGAGAAUAGUGCAAUUUGGAACCAAAUCAAGGAUUAUCUUGCUGCUGCUGAAGGUUGUGUACAAAUGCUUUUUAAGAUGUUGAUGAGCUUAAUAAUAAUAUCAUGAGUGAAAUUGUCAUACUGCUUUGGACCUUAUGGUGGAGAAGAAAUAAAAAAUGCUGGAAUGAUACAACUCCCACAUUGUUUAAUGUUGCUAGAAGAGCUAAGGAGAGUUUAAUGGACCGGAAAAAAGUGCAGAAGAGAAGC
rnacentral:lncRNA from 1 species